GGGGAAUUUUGGACAAUGGGCGCAAGCCUGAUCCAGCAAUGCCGCGUGCAGGAAGAAGGCCUUCGGGUUGUAAACUGCUUUUGUACGGAACGAAAAGGUCUGGGUUAAUACCCUGGGCUCAUGACGGUACCGUAAGAAUAAGCACCGGCUAACUACGUGCCAGCAGCCGCGGUAAUACGUAGGGUGCAAGCGUUAAUCGGAAUUACUGGGCGUAAAGCGUGCGCAGGCGGUUUUGUAAGACAGGCGUGAAAUCCCCGGGCUCAACCUGGGAAUGGCGCUUGUGACUGCAAAGCUGGAGUGCGGCAGAGGGGGAUGGAAUUCCGCGUGUAGCAGUGAAAUGCGUAGAUAUGCGGAGGAACACCAAUGGCGAAGGCAAUCCCCUGGGCCUGCACUGACGCUCAUGCACGAAAGCGUGGGGAGCAAAC
rnacentral:rRNA from 1 species